UGAGGAAUAUUGGUCAAUGGACGAAAGUCUGAACCAGCCAAGUAGCGUGCAGGAUGACGGCCCUCUGGGUUGUAAACUGCUUUUGUAUGGGGAUAAAGUUAGGGACGUGUCCCUAUUUGCAGGUACCAUACGAAUAAGGACCGGCUAAUUCCGUGCCAGCAGCCGCGGUAAUACGGAAGGUCCAGGCGUUAUCCGGAUUUAUUGGGUUUAAAGGGAGCGUAGGCUGGAGAUUAAGUGUGUUGUGAAAUGUAGACGCUCAACGUCUGAAUUGCAGCGCAUACUGGUUUCCUUGAGUACGCACAACGUUGGCGGAAUUCGUCGUGUAGCGGUGAAAUGCUUAGAUAUGACGAAGAACUCCGAUUGCGAAGGCAGCUGACGGGAGCGCAACUGACGCUUAAGCUCGAAGGUGCGGGUAUCAAACAGGAUUAGAUACCCUGGUAGUCCGCACAGUAAACGAUGGAUGCCCGCUGUUGGUACCUGGUAUCAGCGGCUAAGCGAAAGCAUUAAGCAUCCCACCUGGGGAGUACGCCGGCAACGGUG
rnacentral:rRNA from 1 species